UAACAGUUUCAUUCAUAGUUUAAGUUUUUGAAUUUUUUUUAUUUGUUGGGUCUCUGUUUUUUUUGGGCAAGUAUCAUUCAUGAAAUCAUUCCAAGUAUGUUUUUUUUAUUUGUUGGGUCUCUGUUUAUUAUGUGAUUCUUUAGUGGCAAAUUUUGCGAUGAUCUUCGACUCAAGUUGGAGAAUGAUUUCAUGAAAUCUCUUCAGGCUGACAUAAAUAAUACAUUGACUCUUGUUUUUGUUUUUAUAUUAUUUUGUACAAUUCUCAAAUGUUGGAUUCUUUGCCUUUUACUUAGACUGUAGAGAGUGGUGAACUGGAGGGUAUCAAGCCUUUGCCUUGGUACCCUAAUAAUCUUGCGUGACAUUCUAAUUUUUCAUGUAUUAUUUCAGCUGCUUGAAAUAAUCUAUACAUGAAUCAUCAGAGUCAGGAUAUCUACCUAAUGGAAUGGUAGUGGCGAAUGAUGUUGACUAAAAAAGAUCUAACCUUCUUAUUAACCAAACGAAAA